AGACGCGGUGAUCCUUCCCUAAAUGCUAGUGCUUUACACCCUUCUGCUCAUCAGGGUCUAGAAGGGCACUCAAUAUUAUUUGACGGUAGUCUCCCUGACUUAUGUAAUAAUUCUCAGGAAAAGACAAGAAUACUCAUAGAGGGUAACCUUGAUUCGUUUUUAAAAAAUUUUAGAGUGACCAAGUCCUGCUUGAAUUUUGUAUUCAGUUUCGAUUACGUAUUUGUGUUUGUACAGAAAAAUUCUCGGCAUUAACCACACUAUUGGCUGAGAUGUUGGUCACUCAACAAUUAGUGGAUCGACGUUUAGCUGAGAUUGAAAAGAAAGUGGGUCAACAUGGAACUGUAGGUCACGGAAAAGAUUUUAAAAAGGUUACAGACGAUCUUCCAUUCAAAAACACUGCUGAUAUACAAGCGUUUGAAAACAAAUUGGCUGAUGCAGAUUUUUGCAGUACUUUUGUAAAGUAUGUUGGACAAAUUGGCGGGAACAGUG
rnacentral:lncRNA from 1 species